UCAGGAAAGUUUUGGGGAGUCCUUUAAGAGGCCGCAUACUAGCUUCAUUUAAUAACAAUAACCUUAUUUCGUUUCCUCUACUGGUUUACAAGGUACCAGGUGCAUUCACAGCAACAAUGGGAUUGCUAACUGGGGUUGCCAUCGGGCUUGGUAAGUGGUGUCUUGGGUGCUCCACUGGCACUAAGUGCCGUGGGGUUCACAGCUGCUGGCAUUGCUGCCGGGUCACUGGCAGCGAAGAUGAUGUCAGCCGCAGCCAUAGCCAACGGUCGUGGUG